AUUGAACGCUGGCGGCAGGCCUAACACAUGCAAGUCGAGCGGUAGAGAGGUGCUUGCAUCUCUUGAGAGCGGCGGACGGGUGAGUAAUGCCUAGGAAUCUGCCCUGGUGGUGGGGGAUAACGUUCGGAAACGGACGCUAAUACCGCAUACGUCCUACGGGAGAAAGCGGGGGGAUCUUCGGACCUCGCGCCAUUAGAUGAGCCUAGGUCGGAUUAGCUAGUUGGUGAGGUAAUGGCUCACCAAGGCGACGAUCCGUAACUGGUCUGAGAGGAUGAUCAGUCACACUGGAACUGAGACACGGUCCAGACUCCUACGGGAGGCAGCAGUGAGGAAUUUUCUGCAAUGGGCGAAAGCUGACAGAGACAUACGCGUGAGGAGAAGGCUUACUGAGUUGUAAAGC
rnacentral:rRNA from 1 species